AGUAGAAUAGCUGGGUCAAAUGGUGGUUCCAUUCCAAGUUUUAUGAGGAAUGUUCAUAUUGCUUUCCAGAGUGGUUGUGCCAAUUUGCAGUCCCACCAGCAAU
rnacentral:pre_miRNA from 1 species